CGGGACGGGUGAGUAAUGUCUGGGAAACUGCCCGAUGGAGGGGGAUAACUACUGGAAACGGUAGCUAAUACCGCAUAACGUCGCAAGACCAAAGAGGGGGACCUUAGGGCCUCUUGCCAUCGGAUGUGCCCAGAUGGGAUUAGCUAGUAGGUGGGGUAAUGGCUCACCUAGGCGACGAUCCCUAGCUGGUCUGAGAGGAUGACCAGCCGCACUGGAACUGAGACACGGUCCAG
rnacentral:rRNA from 1 species